rnacentral:rRNA from 1 species
CCAGACUCCUACGGGAGGCAGCAGUAGGGAAUCUUCGGCAAUGGGGGCAACCCUGACCGAGCAACGCCGCGUGAGUGAAGAAGGUUUUCGGAUCGUAAAGCUCUGUUGUAAGUCAAGAACGAGUGUGAGAGUGGAAAGUUCACACUGUGACGGUAGCUUACCAGAAAGGGACGGCUAACUACGUGCCAGCAGCCGCGGUAAUACGUAGGUCCCGAGCGUUGUCCGGAUUUAUUGGGCGUAAAGCGAGCGCAGGCGGUUUGAUAAGUCUGAAGUUAAAGGCUGUGGCUCAACCAUAGUUCGCUUUGGAAACUGUCAAACUUGAGUGCAGAAGGGGAGAGUGGAAUUCCAUGUGUAGCGGUGAAAUGCGUAGAUAUAUGGAGGAACACCGGUGGCGAAAGCGGCUCUCUGGUCUGUAACUGACGCUGAGGCUCGAAAGCGUGGGGAGCGAACAGGAUUAGAUACCCUGGUAGUCCACGCCGUAAACGAUGAGUGCUAGGUGUUGGAUCCUUUCCGGGAUUCAGUGCCGCAGCUAACGCAUUAAGCACUCCGCCUGGGGAGUACGACCGCAAGGUUGAACUCAAAGGAAUUGACGGGGGCCCGCACAAG